GUUUGAUCCUGGCUCAGGACGAACGCUGGCGGCGUGCUUAACACAUGCAAGUCGAGCGGAAAGGCCCUUCGGGGUACUCGAGCGGCGAACGGGUGAGUAACACGUGAGCAACCUGCCCUAGGCUUUGGGAUAACCCCGGGAAACCGGGGCUAAUACCGAAUAGGACCACCGGCUGCAUGGCUGGUGGUGGAAAGUUUUUCGGCCUGGGAUGGGCUCGCGGCCUAUCAGCUUGUUGGUGGGGUGAUGGCCUACCAAGGCGACGACGGGUAGCCGGCCUGAGAGGGCGACCGGCCACACUGGGACUGAGACACGGCCCAGACUCCUACGGGAGGCAGCAGUGGGGAAUAUUGCACAAUGGGCGGAAGCCUGAUGCGGCGACGCCGCGUGAGGGAUGACGGCCUUCGGGUUGUAAACCUCUUUCAGCAGGGACGAAGCGAGAGUGACGGUACCUGCAGAAGAAGCACCGGCCAACUACGUGCCAGCAGCCGCGGUAAGACGUAGGGUGCGAGCGUUGUCCGGAAUUAUUGGGCGUAAAGAGCUCGUAGGCGGCUUGUCGCGUCGACUGUGAAAACCCGCGGCUCAACCGCGGGCCUGCAGUCGAUACGGGCAGGCUAGAGUUCGGUAGGGGAGACUGGAAUUCCUGGUGUAGCGGUGAAAUGCGCAGAUAUCAGGAGGAACACCGAUGGCGAAGGCAGGUCUCUGGGCCGAUACUGACGCUGAGGAGCGAAAGCGUGGGGAGCGAACAGGAUUAGAUACCCUGGUAGUCCACGCUGUAAACGUUGGGCGCUAGGUGUGGGGGACCUCUCCGGUUUCCUGUGCCGCAGCUAACGCAUUAAGCGCCCCGCCUGGGGAGUACGGCCGCAAGGCUAAAACUCAAAGGAAUUGACGG
rnacentral:rRNA from 1 species